rnacentral:rRNA from 1 species
UAGGGAAUCUUCGGCAAUGGGGGCAACCCUGACCGAGCAACGCCGCGUGAGUGAAGAAGGUUUUCGGAUUGUAAAGCUCUGUUGUAAGAGAAGAACGUGUGUGAGAGUGGAAAGUUCACACAGUGACGGUAACUUACCAGAAAGGGACGGCUAACUACGUGCCAG